UUUUACUCUUAAAUUGUGGGGAUGUAGGCACUCGUUUAGCUACAGGAGAAUCGAUACUUUUGUUCCUUUUAUUGUCGGAUGUUUUUCUGGCCAACAGAUUUCAUUUUUGGAUUUUAGUGUUCCGAGCCAAGGUAUUUCGCCUGAGAAAAUCAAUUGUUUGCUUUGUUUCAUAGGUCAGCGGCGGCGUUGGUCGUAGCGCGCUUCUUCAUGGUAAAAAGGGAUUUUCUCUUUCCCGCUUUAUUAGCAAUUUUUUAACGACGACACAGGUUCGACAAAUUCACUAGUACUGCAGAUGCUAGCGCAAUAGGGCAGGUGACUUUGACGAGGAGUAUAUCUCCGUAUCUCCGCAUGUGGGGCUCGUCAGACUAUGGCACGUUGCGCACAUAAAGUGCAAAGAGUAGAGUGACAGAAGAGACUCAAGUGGGACUUCGACCGUUAACGGCCUUAGGGGUGAGCGCGCGUUGCCCACACGACUAUCAAAAACGCGGUCUUUAAGGUAAGAUCGAUCACUUUUGAAAGGACAGUAGGAAGGAUAUCCCGCGCAAAUUGUGAAGCAAGCCCUCGUGCCAAACUCGGUCGAACGCUACUUCGACAUUGCAUAAGAAGGCGUCUGUUGCUUUAAAACUUUCAAGGCACGGGUCGUAUAAAACUUCAGGCAAAGGGGGCCUGGCUUGCGUCAACAAUUGCUUCGCCUCAGCUACCUUUGCCUACGGUUACGAAGAGGCUGAUAGGCCUGUAAUUGCUUUGCUUUGAUGCUGUUCGUGGUGUCUUCGGGAGCAUAACCAACAGUUGCCGUCUUCAAGCACACUGGGAAGGUGCCGAGUUCCUUCAUAGAGUUGAUGAGGCAGUGUAGGCCUUUGCCAUUAACAUCACGUUGGUGAUACCGUUAGGGCCGAGUGCCUUUCGUCUCGGUAAAGCGUUAAUAACCUCUUUGAUUUCAAUUAUGGUCAUUGGCUCGAACUGUUCCUUGGCAUCAGGAAGGGAGUUUGCUUACAAAGCACUUUAACAGCAACUAAAUAAGCAAGGGGCAAAUACCCAGUAGCAAGGUGUUUAGCCAAAAGUGUCGCUUCGUCUGCUUUAAUUUCCUCAAAAAUGCCGUCUCGAUUACUUAAUGAUGGUAGCGCGCUCGGAUUUUUGUAUUUCCCAAUGUACUUCCACUUAGAGCCGCCACCUUUACCGUUAUCUUCCGGGAUAUUACUAAUCUUUGUCGUCCACAAUCGGUUGUGGUGCGCUGACCGCUCUUCCCAUUGCGCUGGUGUAGUCUAUUAAGCGGUGGUUUACCUUUGGGUCCGUUGGCACCGUGAUCAUUGAAGGUCGUCGUUCGCAGGGUUAAUUCAUCAGGCAAGAAGUUUGGCGGGGUUCACUUUCUCGUGUUCUCGUGGCGGUCUGUUACCCCAUGGUCGAAGCGCCCUCAAUUUCAGCUACAGCUACGUCAAGUAGAGCGGGCGUCCUGUUAAGGCGGAAGGUGUUAAAAAGGUUAUAUAAAAACCUUAGGAGAAUUGAGAGCAAUCUGUAAAAAUUCUGGUAUGUAUUCUUAGUAACUCCAUUUUCGUCGCCGAAAUCUAACAGAACUGCAAAUGCUCCCACAAGAGUUCAUAAAGAGCUUACGUUGUGGAUGAAUAUAUAAAAAAACUUUUUUUAUAAGGGGGGACCUAAUUUGUUUAAUAUCCCUGUCCUCUCCACGUGCGUUGGGUACUGUGGUAUUAAGACGCGUAGUCAGCGCUCAACGGUGUAAGAUUCGGGGUCUCGUCCGUUUGGGUAAUCAACACGGCUGUUCCAGCAAGAUACCUGCAGCCAAUGUUCCCACUUACAACAUUUGAAGAAGAUUUAGAAAGGGGCGUCAAUAUCUGAAGUAAUGUGACUUGCUGGGAGAGUUGUAAGCUGCAAUCACCGGACACGAGUCCCUGACUGGAUGCAAGGCUGUGCAGGAUUGGCAAAGACAUCACGUUGUGUGGGAUGUUUCGUUUGCUCUAUCACCCCUAUCAGUGUGGUCCUGGUGAUAUCAAAUAGUUGCAGAGAUUAAAUGAAACGCCGAGAAGAAGACGAAUCUCAUCAAUAACAGAUCUAUCCCUUCGCAUUGCACCACUUCCUGCGACCCUUGUUUCCUAUGUAGAAACGCCGUUUGCGUUCCAGAAAAGAAGACGGAUAUGACGAAGCGCUCGUGGUCUAACAACUAUUGCAGCGGUUUUCGGACUUUUUAGACUCUUCAUCGUCUCUAACAUAGUUGGCAGGUUUGUCAAUAAUAUUGAAAGUAGUUGUCGAUGUGUUGGUCGCGGGAGUUGGAAAGUUGUCUUAGUGACUAGGCGAGCGACAUAAGAAAUUGUCAAAAUGACGUCAGAAGAGGUCUGUUUUUGAAGCAUUAGUAGAGCAGCUUGAUUGGAUGGUGUAAGGCUCGCGGGUAAUUUUUGAUGUAAAAGUUGGAAUUGUGCGCUUCACCGCAAUAAGCACUACUGGCAGGACUUUCUCGUACUUUUGUGCACUGCGUUCAUGGGGUAUUCGCCACAUUUAUCGCAUCGGGGGGCCGCAGAGCAGGAACUUGCGCUGUUUCCAAAAACUUGGCAGCGUUGGCAUUGUCCGACUAGAAUACUCCUUCAAAACUCUUUUAUCCUAGCCUGAAACUAUAAAUCUCCUUUAAUUCCAACUAUUUUUAUUGAUCACACCUUGGUGUAUGUACUAACAGCAGGUCGUGCGUUUCCCGUCGUCAUUGUCCUCCGUGUGCAUUCCCGCCACGUGGAGAGGGGUGUUGCCUUGCGUUCGUAAGUUCCCCUCCACUUCCAAACCGUCGAGGGACAAACUUUAAAGGCUUGUGCACUGGUAGUUGAUGGUUGUAAUGUGGUAGCACUUCUUUUCGCAUAAGCUUAGGGGUGACCCGAUACUACUCUGCUGUUGUAAUAAUUUAAUUCCUUGACGUGUAUCCCUAACUCCGAAAGUUGUUGACGACGUUGCCCAGCAGAGGUUUUACAAAAUGAAAUCUGUUUUUCUCAGAGAACCGUGAGCAGGAUGUUAUUAUUUCGCCUAAGAGGAGAUGCAACCGCGGAAAGUGGCUUGGAGUUGCUGGAAGUAUUUCGUGCAGUGGAAGAAGAAUUGCCCGUUUCUAAGUCAAGGCUCUCUUUGUGCUCUCUAAAAGGCAUAUCUCUGU